AUGGCGAGCAGCUUCGCGCUGCUGCUGCUCCUCCUGGCGGCGGUCGCGUCCACGAUCGCCGAGCUGGACGAGAGGGAGCCGCACAUCGAUCCAGCGUCCACCAUCGCUGAGCUGUUGAAUGCGGCGGUCACGUCCACCACCGCCGAGCUCGAUGAUGUCGAGCCAGCCGACUGCGACGGCUACAGGACUUACAUCGUCAUGCUCGAGCCACUAGAAGGAGGCCAAGAUGCUGAUGUUGAUGCUGCCAGAGCGUGGCACCGCUCCUUCCUGCCAUCGUCGACGACGGCACAAGGCAAGCCGAGGCUGCUCUAUUCCUACCGGACCGUCUUCACCGGCUUCGCCGCGUGGCUGACGGAUGAGGAGCUCAAGGAGGUCUCCGCCAAGCCAGGCUUCGUCCGCUCCUUCGACAACAACAUCUACCGCGGGCAGAUGACACCGACGCCGACGUCGGUGUCGUUCCUGGACCUGUCGAACCAUAUUGGGGAGUCCCCCGAUAACUGA
rnacentral:rRNA from 1 species